UACGAAGGGGGCUAGCGUUGUUCGGAAUUACUGGGCGUAAAGAGCGUGUAGGCGGCCAGGUAGGUCAGCUGUGAAAACUCGAGGCUCAACCUCGAGACGCCGGUUGAAACCAUCUGGCUAGAGUCCGGAAGAGGAGACUGGAAUUCCUGGUGUAGCGGUGAAAUGCGCAGAUAUCAGGAGGAACACCGGUGGCGAAGGCGGGUCUCUGGGCCGAUACUGACACUGAGGAGCGAAAGCGUGGGGAGCGAACAGG
rnacentral:rRNA from 1 species